rnacentral:misc_RNA from 1 species
UGCUCAUGAUGUGUACUGUUUUGGGAAGGUCUUAUUGGAGCUCAUAACAGGCAAACUGGGCAUCAGUAAAUCAGAUGAUGCCACAACAAGGGAGUGGCUAGAACACACAUUGGCAUAUAUCAGUAUAUAUGACAAGGAACCAGUGACGAAGAUUAUUGACCCGUCUUUGAUCGUAGAUGAAGAUUUGUUGGAAGAGGUAUGGGCCAUGGCCAUUGUGGCCAGAUCAUGCCUUAAUCCCAAGGCUUCAAAACGUCCCCCAAUGAAAUAUAUUCUCAAAGCAUUAGAAAACCCGUUGAAAGUUGUGAGGGAGGAGAGUUACAAUUCAGGAAGGCUGAGAACAACUUCAUCUAGGAGAUCCUGGAGUGCUGCCUUUUUUGGCAGUUGGCGACACAGCUCAUCAGAAAAUGCUACUGUUCCAGGCCAUACUAUCCGCGAAGGUGUCGGUGGCUCAAAGCAGCCAGGAAGAGUAGGAUCUCAUGGCAGUUGUGGAAUUGAACAUACAUAUUCUAAUAAAAAGUUAUCCAGUGAAAUUUUUCCCGAGCCACUUGAAAUGCAAGAUAUAGAGCUGCAAGAUGAGCAUUAGCUAGCAUGGUGUUUUCAGAUGUUCAUUGAACAUACUGUGGCGUUCGCAGUUGAGUGUUAAACAUCCCUUUGAUAGCCUUUCAUCCAGGACUAAGGCAUUGAUUGAGCGGCUGGUUGGCUUGCUGAUGGCAGCAGAAGCUAU